CCUACGGGUGGCAGCAGUGGGGAAUAUUGGACAAUGGGCGAAAGCCUGAUCCAGCCAUGCCGCGUGUGUGAAGAAGGCCUUCGGGUUGUAAAGCACUUUCAGUGGGGAAGAAAGCCUUGGGGCUAAUACCCUCGAGGAAGGACAUCACCCACAGAAGAAGCACCGGCUAACUCCGUGCCAGCAGCCGCGGUAAUACGGAGGGUGCGAGCGUUAAUCGGAAUUACUGGGCGUAAAGCGCGCGUAGGCGGUCUGAUAAGCCGGUUGUGAAAGCCCCGGGCUCAACCUGGGAACGGCAUCCGGAACUGUCAGGCUAGAGUGCAGGAGAGGAAGGUAGAAUUCCCGGUGUAGCGGUGAAAUGCGUAGAGCUCGGGAGGAAUACCAGUGGCGAAGGCGGCCUUCUGGACUGACACUGACGCUGAGGUGCGAAAGCGUGGGUAGCAAACAGGAUUAGAUACCCGGGUAGUC
rnacentral:rRNA from 1 species